UACGGGGGGGGUAAGCGUUGUUCGGAAUUACUGGGCGUAAAGGGCUCGUAGGCGGCCAACUAAGUCAUACGUGAAAUCCCUCAGCUUAACUGGGGAACUGCGUGUGAUACUGGAUGGCUUGGAUUUGGGAGAGGGAUGCGGAAUUCCAGGUGUAGCGGUGAAAUGCGCAGAUAUCAGGAGGAACACCGGUGGCGAAGGCGGAUCUCUGGGCCGUAACUGACGCUGAGGAGCGGAAAGCAUGGGGAGCGAACAGG
rnacentral:rRNA from 1 species